rnacentral:misc_RNA from 1 species
AACCAUAGAAACCUGCGGAGUACCUGCGGAGGGAUCAUUAACCUUUCAAAUCAGGGUGCGGCGCGGCCCCCGAGGAGCGGAAACAAUCCUUGGGAGGUAUGCGGGGGCUUCGAGCCCCCCAUUUACGCACGCACGACUGCCAUCCUUACUUUACGAGCACCUUCUGUUCUCCCUCGGCGGGGCAACCUGCCGUUGGAACCGAAUAAACUCUUUUUGCAUCUAGCAUUACCUGUUCCGAAA